GACGAACCGUGCGAACGUUGUUCGGAAUCACUGGGCUUAAAGGGCGCGUAGGCGGCUUAACAAGUCGGGGGUGAAAUCCAGCAGCUUAACUGUUGAAGUGCCUUCGAUACUGUCGAGCUCGAGCAAGGUAGGGGUGCGCGGAACUUCUGGUGGAGCGGUGAAAUGCGUUGAUAUCAGAAGGAACGCCGGUGGCGAAAGCGG
rnacentral:rRNA from 1 species